UACGGAGGGAGCUAGCGUUAUUCGGAAUUACUGGGCGUAAAGCGCACGUAGGCGGCUUUGUAAAGUUAGAGGUGAAAGCCUGGGGCUCAACUCCAGAAUUGCCUUUAAGACUGCAUCGCUUGAAUCCAGGAGAGGUGAGUGGAAUUCCGAGUGUAGAGGUGAAAUUCGUAGAUAUUCGGAAGAACACCAGUGGCGAAGGCGGCACUCCUGGACUGGUCCUGACACUCAAGAG
rnacentral:rRNA from 1 species